ACCCAAUCCCAGUACACCGUUUGCAAUAGAUUGUCAGUUGGUGGUGGCGGUAGUUAUCGAAAACUUAAGUUUCUUAGUUUGCGGUUGAUUGGAUAAAUGGGAAACAAUAAAUUUUGAACUGCCCCAGGGUGCUCGUCAUCCAGUAGGCCGACAGGUUUGAAGCUCUUCAGCUUUCCCAGGGAUUCAGCGAGCAGGAAGAGUUGGGAUAUCCUGG